rnacentral:rRNA from 1 species
AUGUGGCGCCGUUCCGGCUCGCCGUUCGAGGCCAGAGUCCGACUAUUUAAGUCGGUCGGCGUCCCCAAUCCUAGCCAGAGCCUCUUCCUCUUCACGUCGUCAGCCCGAGCACAUUACUCUUCGUCUCCACCUUCCUCUUUCCUCGCCAUCCGACAUGGCCUGAAGAAGAAGACCACCUAUGCUAUGCUAACGCCGGAGCGCUUCCAGAUCGAGGAGGAGGUCCGAGCGAGGCAUGUGGCCCGGAUCGCAGCCGCCCUGCCUACGGACUCGCCGGAGCUGGAGGAGAAGAAGGAGGAAGGGCAAAAGCAGCCAAAGCCCAUGGAGGGGCGGAUCCCGAGGAGCCGGGGCCGGUUGGGGGCUUCACCGUAG